rnacentral:rRNA from 1 species
UACGAAGGGUGCAAGCGUUACUCGGAAUUACUGGGCGUAAAGCGUGCGUAGGUGGUUUGUUAAGUCUGCUGUGAAAGCCCCGGGCUCAACCUGGGAAUGGCAGUGGAUACUGGCAAGCUAGAGUGCGGUAGAGGGGUGUGGAAUUCCCGGUGUAGCGGUGAAAUGCGUAGAGAUCGGGAGGAACACCAGUGGCGAAGGCGGCACCCUGGACCAGCACUGACACUGAGGCACGAAAGCGUGGGGAGCAAACAGGG